rnacentral:rRNA from 1 species
AGAGUUUGAUUCUGGCUCAGGAUGAACGCUAGCGAUAGGCCUAACACAUGCAAGUCGAGGGGCAGCACAUGAGUAGCAAUACGAUGGUGGCGACCGGCGCACGGGUGAGUAACACGUAUGCAACCUACCUUUAACAGGGGAAUAACCCGUUGAAAAACGGACUAAUACUCCAUAACACAGGGGUCCCGCAUGGGAAUAUUUGUUAAAGAUUAAUCGGUUGAAGAUGGGCAUGCGUUCCAUUAGCUUGUUGGUGAGGUAACGGCUCACCAAGGCCACGAUGGAUAGGGGAACUGAGAGGUUUAUCCCCCACACUGGAACUGAGACACGGUCCAGACUCCUACGGGAGGCAGCAGUGAGGAAUAUUGGUCAAUGGAGGCAACUCUGAACCAGCCAAGUCGCGUGAAAGGAUGAAGGUCUUAUGGAUUGUAAACUUCUUUUGCAAGGGAAUAAAGUGGGGGACGUGUCCUCCUUUGCAUGUACCUUGCGAAUAAGGAUCGGCUAACUCCGUGCCAGCAGCCGC